rnacentral:misc_RNA from 1 species
UGCAAGAGAAUCUCUCAAGCCAAAUCUAAAGUAAUCACCCUUUCCCACUACUUCUGUUUUGGGGACUGCUGCAGCAGGCUGGUUUACUGCCAAAGGCAUCUUGCAGAAAUACCAACGAACAUCACCACCAUCUGACGGACUUCUAGUCUGAGCAAGGUACUUUUGCCUCCCCUCUAAGUGUUCAAUCUCAUCUGCUAACCUCCUAAUAUUUGAUGGUGUGUUCUUCAACAUGUCAGGAGAGGUUUCAUCGAUCUCACCUUUCGACCCAGAAACAGAUGCCAUUUCCUCCUCCUGAACCUCAACCUCACAAAAGUCCAAACACCUCUCUACCAG